rnacentral:rRNA from 1 species
AACGAACGCUGGCGGCAUGCCUAACACAUGCAAGUCGAACGGGAUCCUAGCUUGCUAGGUGAGAGUGGCGGACGGGUGAGUAACACGUGGGAAUCUGCCUUUUUGGUUCGGGAUAACCGCGGGAAACUGCGGCUAAUACCGAAUGCCCUCGAGAGAGGAAAGAUUUAUCGCCAGAAGAGGAGCCCGCGUCCGAUUAGGUAGUUGGUGGGGUAAAGGCCUACCAAGCCGACGAUCGGUAGCUGGUCUGAGAGGAUGAUCAGCCACACUGGGACUGAGAUACGGCCCAGACUCCUACGGGAGGCAGCAGUGGGGAAUAUUGGACAAUGGGGGCAACCCUGAUCCAGCAAUGCCGCGUGAGUGAUGAAGGCCUUAGGGUUGUAAAGCU